UACGUAGGGGGCAAGCGUUGUCCGGAAUCAUUGGGCGUAAAGAGCGUGUAGGCGGCCCGAUAAGUCCGCCGUGAAAGUCCAGGGCUCAACCCUGGAAUGCCGGUGGAAACUGUCGGGCUGGAGUCCGGAAGAGGCGAGUGGAAUUCCUGGUGUAGCGGUGAAAUGCGCAGAUAUCAGGAGGAACACCUAUUGCGAAGGCAGCUCGCUGGGACGUAACUGACGCUGAGAAGCGAAAGCAUGGGGAGCGAACAGG
rnacentral:rRNA from 1 species